CAGCUGAUUGAACCGAUUGUACACAUACAAUUACAAUCAUAUGCAUAUUAUACGAAAAAAAAUCUGAAUAAUCCGUCUGGCCAACACUGAUUGGUCGUUUCAACGACCAUUUUGUUUCUACCUUUGUUAGCUGCAGCUUUGUGAAAUGCAGAAGAUAAUGGAAAGCAUUUGCCUGCAAGAUCUGGUCCUACCGGCAUCCGAGAGCGACAAAAGAAAAAACCAUGGGAGGCUUCCAUUAGAACUAAGGUCAUCGAAUCAUCAACUACGAUUUCCAUCACCAAUGAGAGUCGAGGCCGCUCGAAACGCUGCAGGCUGAGGAUUUCCUUCGAUUUUUUUUACAAGUUUGGUAGUCGAGGGUGCUAUCCUCGCCGCCGUUAAGUGAUGAAAAUUGUACCCAGUGAGUGAUUUUAAAUAGAUAUUUAUAAUCAUGUAUAAAUAAGUUGAUAAUAAAAUUUGUUUUCUUUAAA